UACGGGGGGGGCAAGCGUUGUUCGGAAUUACUGGGCGUAAAGGGCGCGUAGGCGGCCUGCUAAGUCGGAUGUGAAAUCCCUCGGCUCAACCGAGGAACUGCAUCCGAUACUGGCGGGCUUGAAUCCGGGAGAGGGAUGUGGAAUUCCAGGUGUAGCGGUGAAAUGCGCAGAUAUCAGGAGGAACACCGGUGGCGAAGGCGGGUCUCUGGGCCGAAAUUGACGCUGGAGGAGCGAAAGCGUGGGGAGCAAACAGG
rnacentral:rRNA from 1 species